rnacentral:lncRNA from 1 species
UAUGGGGUGGAGGUGUAUGGGGUGGGGGUGUACGGGAUGAAGGUGGGUGGGAUGGAGGUAUAUGGGAUGGAGGUGUAUGGGAUGGAGGUAUAUGGGAUGGAGGUGUAUGGGGUGAAGAUGUGCAGACCCAACCGGCAGCAGCCACAAGCAUAGAGGAGAGAGGAGGAUGAGGCAGGGAAACCCCCAUGGCCUUCUCAAACGCUGUGUCAUCUCCUCCCCGAAGCCAAACAAACAAAAUCGCUACCAGCCCACACAACCUAAAAUUCCAGCAUUAGGAAAUCCAGGGGAAAAGCAGGAAGCGGAGGUGCAGACAGGGCUGGGUGCUGCCGUGCUGCAGGCGGGGCCUGAAGCUCCGGGGCAGCGCUGGGAACCGCUUCCCAACCCGGUCCCAUAGCGGGAGCUCUCCCAGACACCCCAACUCCACCCCGAGGCUUCGGGGAACUGGAAUGGUGAUGCAAGGUGGGAUGAAGCAACAGCGCUGGGAGGAAGCAGGGGAUGGGAUGUGGCGUGGCUGAGCUUUGCUCCUCGCCAUCCCGAUCCCAGCAGGAGCCGGCUGAGCAUCGUCCCCAUGUCACAGCCAGACAGUGAGUGGGGAUGACAGGGUUAUAGGAAACAAGGUGACACUUCCAAACACAUUCUCUUUGCUGCUCUUUUCCUUUCCUGGCUGUGGCAAGGGUUGCACAGGAAAGCCAGCAAGCUAAUGUAUUCAUGUCAUCUUGCAUUUGGUGCCAGGACAUGAAGUAAACACUGUCAGGGACCUCGCUCAGGUUCAAAGACGAGCCCUGCUUCUUAUUCCGAUCACAUUAUCCGCGCUCCCCGUACGGAUUCGUUGAUUCAUAUCUUAAAAAGAAAAGCCUUCAAAACCCAUUAAGCCUGCCUUGCCAUUCCAGCCCUGCUCUCAAGGGCUGGGGCAAGAAGCAUUAACUAAUCUGCUCACAUUACUUUGCCUUUGAGCCGAGCAUCUCUCGGUGUCAAUCAAGCGUGUCUGGAAGUGAUACGCUCCGGUGCAGGGCAGCGAGUUCACUGCAUGGAAAAUCAAUGUGGGAGCCCUCAGCCGGGCAGCGGGUGGGCAAAGGCACCUCUGGAAAAGAACCCACGGAGGAGGCUUUGCCGUGCUCUUAGCGACGGCUGCUCUUUCUCGAGACCUCAGGUGGUGCCUGGGACACAAAUGGGGACGUCCCGGUGCCACCUGGUGUGCAGAGAGAGGAGCAGUGCAGCCACAGGAGGUGCUCGGGGUGCUCCCAAAGAGCUCCCAUCCCUGUGGAACCACUGGGGAGGGUCCAUCCCCUCCAGCCCCCAGCUACAGAGAACGAUGAUGGGAUGGGCGUGGAGGGAUUUGGCUUCACAGAUAUGUUGAGUGUUUUUUAGGGCUCGGAGAGGUCCAAGAGGAUGUUGUCACUGAGUGGGGAUGAAUGACAGCAUCCCAGUCUCUCGCUGAUGGGAUGGAGAGCCAGGAUCCCCCAAAGCUUGCUCUGCCUUGUCUUUCUGACCUCCUAACUUAGUGAACCAGGGCUGAUCGAGGCUGCUUGGAUCUGCCCCUGGUUUCAAAACCCAUUUGUGUGGGGAGUCCGUUUCCCAGCACGGAGGUGUGGGGAGAGGUGUGCGUGCUGCUGAGAGCGGGGAGGGGGAGGCAGAGCCAUCCUGCAGACAUCGGGAUCAGCUGGCUGAGAUGUGGCCACGGGGAAUUACACGCAGGGCUGAGCCUGUCAGAUUACCCG